rnacentral:rRNA from 1 species
GAUGAACGCUGGCGGCGUGCCUAAUACAUGCAAGUCGAGCGAACGGACGAGAAGCUUGCUUCUCUGAUGUUAGCGGCGGACGGGUGAGUAACACGUGGAUAACCUCCCUAUAAGACUGGGAUAACUUCGGGAAACCGGAGCUAAUACCGGAUAAUAUUUUGAACCGCAUGGUUCAAAAGUGAAAGACGGUCUUGCUGUCACUUAUAGAUGGAUCCGCGCUGCAUUAGCUAGUUGGUAAGGUAACGGCUUACCAAGGCAACGAUGCAUAGCCGACCUGAGAGGGUGAUCGGCCACACUGGAACUGGGACACGGUCCAGACUCCUACGGGAGGCAGCAGUAGGGAAUCUUCCGCAAUGGGCGAAAGCCUGACGGAGCAACGCCGCGUGAGUGAUGAAGGUCUUCGGAUCGUAAAACUCUGUUAUUAGGGAAGAACAUAUGUGUAAGUAACUGUGCACAUCUUGACGGUACCUAAUCAGAAAGCCACGGCUAACUACGUG